GCCUGGCUGGCUCAGUCGGAGGAGUAUGUGACUCUUGAUCUCAGGUUUGUGAGUUCAAGCCCCAUGUUGGGUU
rnacentral:tRNA from 1 species